GACGAACGCUGGCGGCGUGCCUAACACAUGCAAGUCGAACGGUCAAACGCCAUCCUUUCUGCUCGGAUUGGAUGAGCGGCCAACUGGUGAGUAACUCGUUAGUCACCUUAUAACACCUUCUGGACAACCGCAUGAAAGAGUUGCUAAUACGGAAUAUUCUGGACCUGUCGCUUCAAGAGUCUGGGACAGUUAUUGUUUCGGUGGUGGAUGGGCUCGCGGCCUAUCAGCUUGUUGGUGGGGUGAUGGCCUACCAAGGCGGUGAUGAGUAGCCGGCCUGAGAGGGUCGACGGUCACGGUGGGGCUGCGACACCGCCAAGACUACGACAGGCAGCAGCAGGGGAGAAUAUUGCACGAGGGGCAGAAUGAUGGUGCAGCGACGCGGCGUGAGUGAUGGAGUUCUGCGGGUUGUAAACCUCUAUCGGGAGAGAAGAUAGCCGGCAUUGUUUGUGCGUAGGUUGACGGUAGCUAGAUAGGAAGCGCCGGCUAACUACGUG
rnacentral:rRNA from 1 species